AUUAAUAAGCGGAGGAAAAGAAACUAACCAGGAUUCCCUCAGUAACGGCGAGUGAAGCGGGAAGAGCCCAGCACCGAAUCGCGCGUCGUCUCGACGCAGCGAACUGUGGUGUUAGGGACCGGCGCAUGCGCGUCGGUCCGGCGUCCGAGUCCUCCUGAUCGGGGCUUUGCCAGAGCGGGUGUCAGCCCUCUACGGCGCCGGACCGUCGCGCCCGCGACGUCCCACGAGUCGGGUUGUUUGAUAAUGCAGCCCAAAGUGGGUGGUAAACUCCAUCUAAGGCUAAAUACGGACGCGAGUCCGAUAGCGAACAAGUACCGUGAGGGAAAGUU
rnacentral:rRNA from 1 species